UCAAGUGACUAAGUGCAUGUGGCGGAUGCCUUGGCGAUCACAGGCGAAGAAAGACGCGGCAGCCUGCGAAAAGCUGCGGGGAGCUGGCAAACGAGCUUUGAUCCGCAGAUAUCUGAAUGGGGGAACCCACACCGCAAGGUGUAUCCGUGACUGAAUACAUAGGUCACGGAGGCGAACGAGGAGAACUGAAACAUCUAAGUAUCCUCAGGAAAAGAAAUCAACCGAGAUUCCGGCAGUAGCGGCGAGCGAACCCGGAGGAGCCUAGCUUUUGAUAGUACGAACUUUAGCCGAAAGGUCCUGGAAAGGCCUGCUAUAGUGGGUGAUAGCCCCGUAGGCGAAAGAGUUGGUACGGUACUAAGGAAGCGAGAAGUAGAGCGGGACACGUGGAAUCCUGUUCGAAGAUGGGGGGACCAUCCUCCAAGGCUAAAUACUCGUGAUCGACCGAUAGUGAACCAGUACCGUGAGGGAAAGGCGAAAAGAACCCCGGGAGGGGAGUGAAAUAGAACCUGAAACCGCAUGCAUACAAACAGUAGGAGCCUCACCAGAGGUGACUGCGUACCUUUUGCAUAAUGGGUCAGCGACUUACAUUCUGUGGCGAGCUUAACCGAAUAGGGGAGGCGCAGCGAAAGCGAGUUCGAAAUGAGCGUCCAGUCGCAGGGUGUAGACCCGAAACCAGAUGAGCUAUCCAUGGCCAGGUUGAAGGUGUGGUAACACACACUGGAGGACCGAACCGACUAGUGUUGCAAAAUUAGCGGAUGAGCUGUGGAUAGGGGUGAAAGGCCAAACAAAUCUGGAGAUAGCUGGUUCUCCCCGAAAACUAUUGAGGUAGUGCCUCGUGUGUCGCUCCAGGGGGUAGAGCACUGUUUUGGCUAGGGGGACAUGGAGUCUUACCAAACCAAGGCAAACUCCGAAUACCUGGAAGCGUAAGCACGGGAGACAGAGCACCGGGUGCUAACGUCCGGACUCAAAAGGGAAACAACCCAGACCGCCGGCUAAGGUCCCAAAUAACAGCUAAGUGGAAAACGAAGUGGAAAGGCCGUGACAACCAGGAAGUUGGCUUAGAAGCAGCCAUCCUUCAAAGAAAGCGUAAUAGCUCACUGGUCGAGUCCUUCUGCGCGGAAGAUGUAACGGGGCUAAGCUGUUAACCGAAGCCGCGGAUGCACUGAUUAUUCAGUGCGUGGUAGGGGAGCGUUCUGUAAGUCUGCGAAGGCGGUUCGAGAGGACUGCUGGAGAUAUCAGAAGUGCGAAUGCUGACAUGAGUAACGUUAAAGCAGGUGAAAAGCCUGCUCGCCGUAAGCCCAAGGAUUCCUGCUCUACGUUCAUCGGAGCAGGGUGAGUCGGCUCCUAAGGUCAGGCCGAAAGGCGUAGCCGAUGGGAAUCAGGUUAAUAUUCCUGAACCUGCGUCAGAUGCGAUGGGGGGACGGAGCAUGAAAGAUCAUCCGGGUGUUGGAUGUCCCGGUUGACGAGCGUAGGAGGUCUGCAGGCAAAUCCGCAGACGCAUCUCCAAGGCGAAGUCACGUGCCGCCACGGCGGCGAAGUGAUCGGAAGUGCUUCCAAGAAAAGCCUCUAAGCACCAGUCUGACGCGGACCGUACCGCAAACCGACACUGGUGGGCGAGCUGAAUAUGCUCAGGCGCUUGAGAGAACUCGGGAGAAGGAACUCGGCAAAUUGACACCGUAACUUCGGAAGAAGGUGUGCCGUAGUACCGUGAGAGGAGAGACACCUUGAGCGGGAAUCGGUCUCAGAGAAUAGGUGGCUGCGACUGUUUAUUAAAAACACAGCACUCUGCAAAGUCGAAAGACGACGUAUAGGGUGUGAUGCCUGCCCGGUGCUGGAAGAUUAAUUGAUGGGGUGAGAGCCCUUGAUCGAAGUCCCAGUAAACGGCGGCCGUAACUAUAACGGUCCUAAGGUAGCGAAAUUCCUUGUC
rnacentral:rRNA from 1 species